GAGUUCAGAGCAACCUCCAGAGACUGAAGGGAACUCAUCGGCAAAGAACCAAUUCCCUCUCAUAUAAACCCUAAGAGUGCUUUGCAAACCCAACCGUGCAAUUCAAUUUCAUUCGAUCUCUCCAGUCAGGUUUGCCUUAUUCCCAUUACUUUAUGCUUUUAAUUUGAAUGCUCUGAAUGUAUGAGGUAUUAUGGGUGAAUUUGAUACCCUUUUGAUGCAUGUGUUUGACAAGAGGUUUAGGCCUCCUACCCUUGG
rnacentral:lncRNA from 1 species